UGGGAGGUCAUCUAAUGGUAGGAUACGCGGCUCUGGACCGCGGCAUGAAGGUUCGAGUCCUUCCCUCCCAG
rfam:Parcubacteria bacterium GW2011_GWB1_41_6 TT71_C0034, whole genome shotgun sequence.